rnacentral:tRNA from 1 species
GUAAACCAAAAAUGGAGAACCCUAUCUCCCUAAGACU